rnacentral:rRNA from 1 species
AAUAGAUACCCUGGUAGUCCUUGCCGUAAACGAUGUAUACUUGGUGUAACCGGACUCAACCCCGGUUGUGCCGUAGCUAACGCGUUAAGUAUACCGCCUGGGGAGUACAGUCGCAAGGCUGAAACUCAAAAGAAUUGACGGGGACCCGCACAAGCAGUGGAGCAUGUGGUUUAAUUCGAUGCAACGCGAAGAACCUUACCCAGACUUGACAUGCAGUAGACCGGUUCAGAAAUGGGCCUUUCCUUCGGGACUGCUGCACAGGUGCUGCAUGGCUGUCGUCAGCUCGUGCCGUGAGGUGUUGGGUUAAGUCCCGCAACGAGCGCAACCCUUAUCAUUAGUUGCCAACAUUUAAGGUGGGAACUCUAAUGAGACUGCCUGGGUUAACCAGGAGGAAGGUGAGGAUGACGUCAAGUCCGCAUGGCCCUUAUGUCUGGGGCUACACACGUGCUACAAUGGUCGGUACAGAAGGCAGCGAAACCGCGAGGUGAAGCAAAUCCCUAAAACCGGCCUCAGUUCAGAUUGUAGU